rfam:Schistosoma haematobium scaffold278_20, whole genome shotgun sequence.
AUCCAACUGACGAGUUCCAAAUAGGAAGAAACACGCGUUCUGGAU